UGAGGAAUAUUGGUCAAUGGGCGAGAGCCUGAACCAGCCAAGUAGCGUGCAGGAUGACGGCCCUAUGGGUUGUAAACUGCUUUUAUAUGGGAAUAAAGUGAGGGACGUGUCCCUUAUUGCAUGUACCAUAUGAAUAAGGCCCGGCUAAUUCCGUGCCAGCAGCCGCGGUAAUACGGAAGGUCCAGGCGUUAUCCGGAUUUAUUGGGUUUAAAGGGAGCGUAGGCUGUUUGUUAAGCGUGUUGUGAAAUGUAAGAGCUCAACUUUUAGAUUGCAGCGCGAACUGGCAGACUUGAGUGCGCACAACGUAGGCGGAAUUCAUGGUGUAGCGGUGAAAUGCUUAGAUAUCAUGACGAACUCCGAUUGCGAAGGCAGCUUACGGGAGCGCAACUGACGCUAAAGCUCGAAGGUGCGGGUAUCGAACAGG
rnacentral:rRNA from 1 species